CGGGCUGUAGCGCAGUUUGGUAGCGCACUGGCUUUGGGUGCCAGGGGUCGUGGGUUCGAAUCCCGCCAGCCCGACCA
rnacentral:tRNA from 1 species